UUCACCACAAGCUGGAAUAACACCGAGUGGUGGGGCCGUGGUGCUGUGCAGGCAGGCAGCCCGAGUCUCUCUGUCUGGCACUAUAAAACGUAACGCAGAAGCACUCCAGCGGAAGAGUAAGACAGAUGCUGUAAUGUGCUGAAGGGUGAGUGAAUAGUCUGAUGGCAGGCACACGUUAUAGAGCUGUGGGAGAUAAGGGCUUGAAUUUCAGCGUGGCCUCCAGCAAAUAUUUGAAGACAGUAUUCCCGGCCAGUGUCUUAGUCACCAGGCUCCCAUUUGCUCAUAUUAUGAUGUCUCAUUUCUUUUUAUGCUGAAGCUACUCCACGCUGUGCUAGCAAACUAUGUCAGAGAAAAGUGAGAAGAGCAACUGGCAUCCUCACCUAGGCUGUGUCAUCACUUACCCAGCACAAGCAGUCCUAGACACCGCUGGCUGCAGACCCACCUCCAACACCGAGAGGAGCUGUACCUAAAUAAGUGGUUUGGUGUAACAGAUACCAGUACGGAGUCCCCCAAAAGCAGUUAAAGCUUUUUCUUUUUUUUUAAACACAUCAUAAAGUCCUGGUGCAGAGUCGGUGCUGGCAGAUGAUCACGGCUACUACCACUCCCAGCAGAAGAAACAGCAAGAAGGUUAUUUGUUACCCUCUUACCGUGGAUCAAGAAGAGAGCCUCAGUCUCAUGUACCGCAUAAAUGACAAGCUCACUCUCGUUACCAUACCAGACACUUGGCCAGGUUCUCUCUAACAAACAUCCCACAUUGGUUACUGAGAACUGACCUGCAGACUGGAGAAAAGCCUCUGUCAGCAGUAGAGCUGGCAAGUAAGAGUGCUGCAGAGCUACCGGGACAAUCCUUCACUGCACUCCCCCAGCAAAGAGGCAGGAGCUGCUGUAAAGAUCAGGAUUGAUGGGGCAGUUGCAUGCAACACGUGGCCUGUAGAGCUAGAUGAAUACAUUGCACAAUGGAUUUGUCCCAGUCAACUCUGGAGAGGGAACGAAGAUCCUCUCUGUGCAAGGCAAUGAAAAGACCUAAUGGGAUCUCACAGGACACAAACCUUUGUAACAAUGGAAAUAAGAGCUCUUUGCUCAGAACCACAUAAAUUGGAUAACACAAAACUGAAAAGAAAAAAAAAAAA